AGAAAGGAAAGGAGGAAAAAAAGAAAAGAAAACAAAGGAGAGCACAAAACAAAACCCUCUCUCUUUUGUAGAAUCUUCUUGACUUUCCCAAAAGUCCAUUUCUGUUUCGAAACUUAAGAAGAGCAGUCGUCUCUCUUCUCUAUCUACUUGUUCUUGUAA
rnacentral:ribozyme from 1 species